UAGUCCACACCGUAAACGAUGAAUGCCAGUCGUCGGGUAGUAUACUAUUCGGUGACACACCUAACGGAUUAAGCAUUCCGCCUGGGGAGUACGGUCGCAAGAUUAAAACUCAAAGGAAUUGACGGGGCCCGCACAAGCAGUGGAGCAUGUGGUUUAAUUCGACGAUACGCGAAGAACCUUACCAGGGCUUGACAUCUGUAGAACGUUUCAGAAAUGAAAUGGUGCUCGCAAGAGAACUACAAGACAGGUGGUGCAUGGCUGUCGUCAGCUCGUGUCGUGAGAUGUUGGGUUAAGUCCCGCAACGAGCGCAACCCCCAUUCUGUGUUGCCAGCACUAACGGUGGGAACUCACGGAAGACUGCCUGUGGAAAGCAGGAGGAAGGUGGGGGAUUACGUCAAGUCAUCAUGCCCCUUACGCCCUGGGGCUACACACAUGCUACAAUGGGGUAGGACAAUGGGGUUGCGAAGCCGCAAGGGUGAAGGCUAAA
rnacentral:rRNA from 1 species